GUGCCCGUAGCUCAGUUGGAUAGAGCAACGGACUUCUAAUCCGUAGGUCGGGGGUUCGAAUCCCUCCGGGCACG
rnacentral:tRNA from 4 species